AAUUCGACGACGUCUCUUUAAUGGAAUUGGAAGAUGUUCUUGAGCAAAAAUUGUUAGAACGUUGGAAUUCGUGCGGCAGCGCUGACAACUUAGUUACAGCUGAUGUAUCAGACACAACAACAGAUAAACCAACUCACGACGUCAAAGAAAUGGCAACAGAGACAAGAGACAACACAGUUCAAGAUGUAACCGACUCAGCAAUAACAACAAACAACCCGGCUCGAGUGACAACAUCCAUAAUUACAAAAACAACAAAUAUACCGACUCCAUUUUUAACUGACAUGAAAACAGAACUGACGACGGCAAUUUACAAAGCAGAAGAUACACAAGCAUUAGAAACCUCGCAGGGAACAAUAUCUGGCGACAAAACGGGUUCCACUUCUGCAUUGAGGACUACAACGAAGUAUGCCGCAAAGACGGACACUUCGCAGCCUACUAACUUUCAAACAAAGCAACUGCCGGCGACAUUUUCUAAGACAGAAAAUAUUGAUACGUCUGUUGGAAAGCUUUUUGAUGACGAAAACAAAGGGUUCAUCGUCAUUGAUAAGCUUCAAACCAUUUAUCCCUCAACGAGCGAUCGUAAUGACAGAUACUCAACUAAUACCCUGUCUUAUUUAUUGACUUCUAUAACACCUUUCGGUUUUUCGUCAGUUUCUUCUAUUCAGUCUGACUCGGCAGCUACUUCGAACUCAAAUGGUAUGUGCAUGAUACGUUAUUUUAAUCGCAUUAACAGUGUAUCAAAAAAUCUUUCCUUAUCAAUAUGCAGCUUGCAGAUUUGUAAACAUAUACAUAUGCGACUAUUUAAAAUCUUCUUUUUUUAGAAAAAGAUGUUGAAUCCGCACCCGAAAAUGCCGGGGCCAAUACAGAUAGCAGGGAAAAUCUCGAAAAUGUGGCUUCCAGACAAAAUAUGGCUUUCUUUCCUAUUUGCAUAGUAUUUGUAUGUACCAGGAAUUAUCUUAAUUAGUUACAGCAGUGUGAUUUAUGAAAUAUAUGUGAUUAAAUAUAUCUGUACCUCUGAAAGGUGAUAUGCUGUGAUAUUUUGCUAUUAAAUAUUUGUAAUUGAUGAAUAAAUGGU
rnacentral:misc_RNA from 1 species